rnacentral:rRNA from 1 species
UAGUGUUGUUGGGUAGGGGAGCGUUCUGUAAGCCGUUGAAGGUAUCCUGUGAGGGGUGCUGGAGGUAUCAGAAGUGCGAAUGCUGACAUAAGUAACGAUAAAGCGGGUGAAAAGCCCGCUCGCCGGAAGACCAAGGGUUCCUGUCCAACGUUAAUCGGGGCAGGGUGAGUCGACCCCUAAGGCGAGGCCGAAAGGCGUAGUCGAUGGGAAACGGGUUAAUAUUCCCGUACUUGGUGUUACUGCGAAGGGGGGACGGAGAAGGCUAUGUUGGCCGGGCGACGGUAGUCCCGGUUUAAGCGUGUAGGCUGGUUUUCCAGGCAAAUCCGGAAAAUCAAGGCUGAGGCGUGAUGACGAGGCACCACGGUGCUGAAGCAACAAAUGCCCUGCUUCCAGGAAAAGCCUCUAAGCAUCAGGUAACAUCAAAUCGUACCCCAAACCGACACAGGUGGUCAGGUAGAGAAUACCAAGGCGCUUGAGAGAACUCGGGUGAAGGAACUAGGCAAAAUGGUGCCGUAACUUCGGGAGAAGGCACGCUGACACGUAGGUGAAGUGAUUUACUCACGGAGCUGAAGUCAGUCGAAGAUACCAGCUGGCUGCAACUGUUUAUUAAAAACACAGCACUGUGCAAACACGAAAGUGGACGUAUACGGUGUGACGCCUGCCCGGUGCCGGAAGGUUAAUUGAUGGGGUCAGCGCAAGCGAAGCUCCUGAUCGAAGCCCCGGUAAACGGCGGCCGUAACUAUAACGGUCCUAAGGUAGCGAAAUUCCUUGUCGGGUAAGUUCCGACCUGCACGAAUGGCGUAAUGAUGGCCAGGCUGUCUCCACCCGAGACUCAGUGAAAUUGAACUCGCUGUGAAGAUGCAGUGUACCCGCGGCAAGACGGAAAGACCCCGUGAACCUUUACUAUAGCUUGACACUGAACAUUGAGCCUUGAUGUGUAGGAUAGGUGGGAGGCUUUGAAGCGUGGACGCCAGUCUGCGUGGAGCCGACCUUGAAAUACCACCCUUUAAUGUUUGAUGUUCUAACGUGGACCCGUAAUCCGGGUUGCGGACAGUGUCUGGUGGGUAGUUUGACUGGGGCGGUCUCCUCCUAAAGAGUAACGGAGGAGCACGAAGGUUGGCUAAUCCUGGUCGGACAUCAGGAGGUUAGUGCAAUGGCAUAAGCCAGCUUGACUGCGAGCGUGACGGCGCGAGCAGGUGCGAAAGCAGGUCAUAGUGAUCCGGUGGUUCUGAAUGGAAGGGCCAUCGCUCAACGGAUAAAAGGUACUCCGGGGAUAACAGGCUGAUACCGCCCAAGAGUUCAUAUCGACGGCGGUGUUUGGCACCUCGAUGUCGGCUCAUCACAUCCUGGGGCUGAAGUAGGUCCCAAGGGUAUGGCUGUUCGCCAUUUAAAGUGGUACGCGAGCUGGGUUUAGAACGUCGUGAGACAGUUCGGUCC